rnacentral:rRNA from 1 species
GUCUAUGGCCAUACCACAUUGAGUGCGUCAGAUCUCGUGUGAUCUCAGAACCUAAGCAGGGUUGGGCCUAGUCAGUACUUGGGUGGGAGACCACCUGGAAUACUGGGUGCUCUAGGCU